rnacentral:lncRNA from 1 species
GCUCAAAGAUGCAACAAAUGCAACACCUAAAUAGCUCAUCUACUGGUUGCAUUACCAAUUAACAGAUGCAGAUGCAGCAGUCUUAACCAACAGAUGCAGCAGCAGUCUAACCAACAGAUGCAGCAGCAGUCUAACCAACAGAUGCAGCAGCUUAACAAUAUCUUUCCAACAGAUGCAACAGCAGUCUAAUGUUACUACAGCUAAGCAAAAACUAAAAAUUCAAAAGGCAACAACACAUGCAGCAGUAGUAUGCACACUUCAAAGGCUCAAAGAUGCAACAGAUGCAACACCUAAAUAGCUCAUCUACUGGCUGCAUUACCAAUUAACAUAUGCAGAUGCAGCAGUCUAACCAACAGAUGCAUCAGCUUAACAAUAUCUUUCCAACAGCAAAAGUAUUAAGAUUCCAGCAAGAGAUGAUUAUAACUUUUUUCACAUUCUGUUAUCCUUGUGAAAUAUUCCAGAAAGAAACUAAGAUUUCAAUAAGCUAACUUAUUAUGACUCUAGCAAUCAACAACCAUAAGAAUGUCACAACAAAGAAGACUAACAGUGAAUUCACUCAACUGUCAUCAUACUAAAGUGUCUAUCACAAGAAAAAUGGAAGGAAAGUUCUAAAAAUCAGACCUAAACAAAGUAAUCAUAUGGUAAGCGUAACACAUAGUCGUGUACUCACAACUGUUAUUAUACAAGCAAAUUAAUUAAACAGCAUGAACGUGAUACAUAUGAUAUUUGCCUACUAAAGGGAAAAGCUCGGAACAACAGUUCAUUCAAUCAGCAGUACAACCAAAAGAAAACGAAACAUGCCUUUGAAAUUGAAAUUGAAUCGAGCUCGGAAUACUGGAACAGGACAGCAGCAUCUUCGACACUUCGUUUGCCCAGAAUUUGUAAGGAGUGAGGAAUCGAAUCGAGCUGGGAAUCGCCGCCUACAAUCCUAAAUUAGUUUGAUGCAGAAAAUCAGAAAUUAAAACUCAAAAAAAAAACCUCAGAGAGUAGUCGAGUACUGGGAUGAGAUCAUGAGAAUGAGAUGAGACUUACAAAACUUACAAAAGUAGUAAAGUUAACCGGUGAAGAUGAGAUGAGACUCGAGCUCGAAUGUUGACUGAUCGUAACUCGAUUCGCAGACUGAUAUCCUAGAGUCGCAGUCGAUUCUCGUCUUCUUCUUCUCGUUCUCGAGAUAUCUCCUAAGCAGUAAGCACUAAAGACUGAAGCAAUAAGCAAACCCUAUCUCGAUGAUAUCUCCCAUUGGGCAAACGAAGUGUCGAAGAACACUAGUGUCUGAUAGGGUAAUCGUCUAAUCGAUUAUUUGAGGCUGAAGAUUGGGCUUGGGUUGGGAGUUGGGGGAGAUGAGCCUGGGUGGGAG